GAUGAAGAAGGUAGCGAAAUGCGAUAAGUAAUGUGAAUUGCAGAAUUCAGUGAAUCAUCGAAUCUUUGAACGCACAUUGCGCCCCCCAGUAUUCUGGCGGGCAUGCCUGUUCGAGCGUCAUUUCAACCAUCAAGCCCUGCUUGUGUUGGGGUCCUGCGGCUGCCCGCAGGCCCUGAAAACCAGUGGCGGGCUCGCUAGUCACACCGAGCGCAGUAGCACAUCUCGCUCAGGGCGUGCGGCGGGCUCCAGCCGUUAAAGCACCCACCUUUCGCAAGGUUGACCUCGGAUCAGGUAGGAAUACCCGCUGAACUUAAGCAUAUCAAUAAGCGGAGGA
rnacentral:misc_RNA from 1 species